GCAGUGGAGGGAAAGGGAGAAGCUGGCUUCCUGCUGAGCAAGGGACUCUACCCCAGGACCCUGAAAUCAUGACCUGAGCCAAAAGCAGAGCAUAACCAACUGAGACAUUGAAGCGCCCCUCCCAUGAUUCUUAGACCCGUAUUUUUUUUUUUCUGUUAUUCCAAGCUAGCCUUUCUGCAUCAUUGGCUUACUUUAUUAAAACAAACAAAAACAAAAUGGCACCCAUGUAAAAUCAUCAAGUUUUUUCCCCCACUUUUAUGACAAUACUUCUGAAAAAUAAAGUUUGAUUUUAUAUUUGGGUGGGUAUUGAAAAUUUUGCUUACCAUAGUAAUUGUCAUUUUUGGUUUUUUUACAGGCCGCCUCACUGAAUGUGGUGCUCAGAGUAGUGAUGAAAAAUUCAUAGAUUAACACUUGAUGCCAGACUGGAAUUGAAUGUGGGAGCAGUGUGGAUUCAAGGAGCAAAAGGUCUCUUUCUUCCUUUUACAGUUCAUUUGAACACUGUUUAAACUGCCCUUGUUCACUUAUACAUGGAUUCUUUUUUGAUGAAUACAGUACAAUACUAGAGAGCACACAAGCCCAAGCAGGGGAAGCUGCAGAGGGAGAGGGUGAAGUAGGC